CCUACGGGAGGCAGCAGUGGGGGAUAUUGCACAAUGGGGGGAACCCUGAUGCAGCGACGCCGCGUGGGUGAAGGAGCGUUUCGGCGCGUAAAGCCCUAUCGGCAGGGAAGAAGGAGGACGGUACCUGACUCAGAAGCCCCGGCUAACUACGUGCCAGCAGCCGCGGGAAUACGUAGGGGGCAAGCGUUAUCCGGAGUUACUGGGUGUACAGGGGGCGCAGGCGGCAGCGCAAGCCAGGAGUGAAAGCCCGGGGGUCAACCCCGGGACUGCGCUUGGAACUGCGCGGCUGGAGUGCAGGAGGGGCAGGCGGAAUGCCUGGUGUAGCGGUGAAAUGCGUAGAGAUCAGGAGGAACACCGGUGGCGAAGGCGGCCCGCUGGACGGCGACUGACGUUGAGGCCCGAAAGCGUGGGGAGCAAACAGGAUUAGAUACCCCAGUAGUC
rnacentral:rRNA from 1 species